rnacentral:rRNA from 1 species
CAGGAUGAACGCUAGCGGCGCGCUUAAUGCAUGCAAGUCGAGCGAUGAGGCUCCUUCGGGGGUACAUCAGCGGCAGACGGGUGAGUAACACGUAGGUGACCUACCCUCGAGACGGGGAUAACGGCUGGAAACAGUCGCUAAUACCCGAUAGACUUACCAGGUCAAAGCGGUAAGAAAAGCUACGGUGCUUGGGGAGGGGCCUGCGGCCCAUCAGCUAGUUGGUAGGGUAACGGCCUACCAAGGCGAAGACGGGUAGGGGGUGUGAGAGCACGAGCCCCCACAAUGGGACUGCGACACGGCCCAUACUCCUACGGGAGGCAGCAGCAGGGAAUAUUGCACAAUGGACGGAAGUCUGAUGCAGCGACGCCGCGUGAGUGAAGACGGCCUUCGGGUUGUAAAGCUCUUUUACGGGGGACGAGGAAGGACGGUACCCUGGGAAGAAGUGUCGGCUAACUACGUGCCAGCAGCCGCGGUAAGACGUAGGACACAAGCGUUAUCCGGAGUUACUGGGCGUAAAGCGCCUGCAGGCGGCCUGGUAAGUUGGACGUGAAAGCCCCGUGCUUAACGCGGGGAGGUCGGACAAUACUGCCAAGCUAGAGUGCGUCAGAGGGGAGUGGAAUUUCCGGAGUAGCGGUAAAAUGCGCAGAUAUCGGAAGGAACACCAGUGGCGAAAGCGACUCCCUGGGGCGCGACUGACGCUAAGAGGCGAAAGCUAGGGGAGCGAACAGGAUUAGAGACCCUGGUAGUCCUAGCCCUAAACGAUGGAUGCUAGGUGUGGGACGUAAAGUUCCGUGCCGGAAGCAACGCGAUAAGCAUCCCGCCUGCGGACUACGGUCCGCAGGUUAAAACUCAACGGAAUUGACGGCGACCCGCACAAGCAGGCGGAGCGUGUGGUUCAAUUCGAUGCUACACGAAGAACAUUACCUGGGUUUGACAUGUACGUGGUAGAGAAGCGAAAGCGGAUUGACCCUUCGGGGAGCGUACACAGGUGCUGCAUGGCUGUCGUCAGCUCGUGCCGUGAGUUGUCGGCUUAAGUCCCGUAACGAGCGCAACCCUUAUCCUUAGUUGCACGCAUCUAGGGAGACUGCCGGCGGGAAGCCGGAGGAAGGUGGGGAUGACGUCAAGUCAGCAUGGCCCUUAUGUCCAGGGCUACACACACGCUACAAUGGCCGGUACAAAGGG